UGCAUUAGGCUGUGCCCAUCACUGCUCUUCGAGGUUAUCUCGACAUGCAGAAGCCGCCAAUGCCAGUGACAGAAGAGUCUGACAUUAGAUCUCUACGCUAUGCGGCACACAGGCAGUACACACUAUGUACACGGCAAAUUGGGCAAGCACGUUCGUUGUCGUCUUCCAGCCUGCGUUGUGAAUACCAUCAGGCAAAGAUAUCAAUUCUGCACCACCUCAGCCUUCUCAGGAGGCUUCCACCUGGAAUUUGGCAGGGAAACUCGCUUCUCCAAGGCAGGAACAUCGAGGUUGCCAUUUGCAACCGCUACCACCUCACACAUGAGCUUGUCAACAUACUCAUAGCUCUUUCUGUCGUAUAAUUUCUAUUUGGCCAGUCUUCUUUAGGGGCCGUCCAAGGUUACCAAUAAUAUUUUUAAAACGAAAUGUUUUCGUUUGUGGGUGGGUGGGUUUGACGGAGUUUCGUUUUGAAAAUAAUUAUUGGUCUUUUUGGUUGUGCUGUGGCGACGGUUGACAUUGACGUCGUCAAGAGCUGCGAGAUGUGCGUGUCCAAUCAUCCCCAGAAUUGAGAAACGAAUGCGUUUGAGAAUGUAGUUUGGCAGGACACUGUGAUAUACCUGCAUGGCAAAAAGAAUGUGGAGAAAACACACUUGCUUAGACAAUAUACUGCUGUAUGAGAAAAUGGAAACUUCACCGUACAGGACGACUCUUGUUCUCAAUUGCAUUGUUCGUUUCAUUCCCUGUGUUGCCCAUAAGAGACGGGAGCAAAAAUGUUCAGCA